ACACUCAUUGUCAUCAUGCAUAUGCUUUUGGACAGUAUUUUCUUUACUUGGUGUAUAGAUAGUUAUGGAGACAGUGUAUUUGGUUAGUGCUACUGUAAGAUCCAUUACCCUGCCAAAUAUUUGAUAAUGUCUGCACAUAUCAGGUAAGAUAUGCAUCUGGUAUCCUUCAUUCAUAAAUGAAACAAAAAUGACCCUGAGAUGACGCAGACUCUCCUUCUGGGUAAGGUCAUUUAACAGAAGUACACCGCUGCGGAUACACCGACUCACACACUUAUAGAGCACUUGUCUCUCUAGCCCGGCACCUGCUCUAAGAUAAGAACCGCUCUAUUUCUUGCAAUCUCUAAAUCGGUGGCAGUUCGUUCGGGCUGACUACCCUGCACACUAUUAGCCCUAAUGAAACAUUCAUAAACACCCCCCCCCCCCACUAUUCAGUGAUGUAAAGUCCUCCAGUGCAAAUGAGGGACCCAGGCCAGGUUACCAAGCGACGGCCAAGGAUAGUUGCCGUGCCAAUUUAAUCCCCUCACCUGCGUGACAAUCUUUUUUCAUGUUAACCUUUUCUAGGGAAGCAACUCUGACAUCACACUCAACCUCUACUUAAUUGAAAGAUGUUUCUGAUAAACAGGUCUCUACAGCUCUGUCGCACCAGAGAGCUGUUAUCGACAUCUGACGCUCUCCGUGUUCUUUUUGUUCUUACUGGGGUUUUGUUAGUGGGCCAGGGUUUGUUGUUUGACAAGAAGUUAUGUUGACGGACAUGGCAAAUGUAGAUGUUAGUCUGGUUAAUCAUGUAUCUGACACUUUCAUUUCUAAUAGUCUGAAGUUAACAGUGGCUUUGGGUGGGAAGGUUUAGGCUGAUAGGACAAUUUAAUGGACAAAGCACUAUCACAGAAAUGUUUAUUUAUAUCAAUUUUGUAUGUUCAACAAAAAAAAAGAUGAAUUGUAGUCUUUUCUAGACCUGCUGAAUAUUUACAAGCGUAUACACACACACAUUCACCUCUAGCAUCUCAAGUCUGUAGUUCUUAGUCAAUAUUGCCCCCUUCUGGUCUCACAAAAUACCACACAAUUUAACAUGUUCCCAAACCGAACCCUUAAAGAAUGACCAGCCAUCUUGUUCCCCACAGGACACAGCGGGACAGGAGCGCUACCGUACCAUCACCACAGCCUACUACAGAGGAGCCAUGGGCUUCCUGCUCAUGUAUGACAUCACCAACCAGGACUCCUUCAACGCAGUUCAGGACUGGGCAACUCAGAUUAAGACAUACUCUUGGGACAACGCACAGGUGAUCCUGGUGGGAAACAAGUGUGAACUGGAGGAUGACAGGCUAGUCCCCACAGAGGAUAGCCAGAGACUGGCCAAAGAUCUUGGGUUCCAGUUCUUCGAGGCCAG